GACGAACGCUGGCGGCGCGCUUAACACAUGCAAGUCGAACGGAAAGGCCUGCUUUCCCUUGUGGAUUGCGGGUACGCGAGUGGCGAACGGGUGAGUAACACGUGAGUGAUCUGCCCCCAACUUGGGUAUAAGCCCGGGAAACUGGGUCUAAUUCCCGAUAGGACUGCAGGGUGGUGCCUGUGGUGGAAAACGAUCUUCUAGUGGUUGGGGAUGAGCCCGCGGCCUAGCAGCUUGUUGGUGGGGUAAUGGCCUACCACGGCGGGGACGGGUAGCCGGCCUGUGAGGGUGGACGGCCGCAUUGGGACUGGGACCCGGCCCCGACUCCUACCGGCAGCAGCAGUGGGGACUCUUGCGCCGUGGGCGGAAGCCUGAUGCAGCGACGCCGCGUGGGGGAUGACGGCCUUCGGGUUGUAAGCUCCUUUCGACCGCGAGGAAGCCACCUGGUUGGGAGGGUGGUGACGGUAGUGGUAGAAGAAGCACCGGCUAACUACGUG
rnacentral:rRNA from 1 species